rnacentral:rRNA from 1 species
UACAGAGGUCUCAAGCGUUGUUCGGAUUCAUUGGGCGUAAAGGGUGCGUAGGCGGCGCGGUAAGUCGGGUGUGAAAUCUCGGAGCUUAACUCCGAAACUGCAUUCGAUACUGCCGUGCUUGAGGACUGGAGAGGAGACUGGAAUUUACGGUGUAGCGGUGAAAUGCGUAGAUAUCGUAAGGAAGACCAGUGGCGAAGGCGAGUCCCUGGACAACACCUGACACUGAGGCACGAAAGCCAGGGGAGCAAACGGG